GUUUUUCGCUCUAAGAUGAGUCCGCGUAAGAUUAGCUAGUUGGUAGGGUAACGGCCUACCAAGGCGACGAUCUUUAACUGGUCUGAGAGGAUGAUCAGUCACACUGGAACUGAGACACGGUCCAGACUCCUACGGGAGGCAGCAGUAGGGAAUAUUGCACAAUGGAGGAAACUCUGAUGCAGCGACGCCGCGUGAGUGAUGAAGGCCUUCGGGUCGUAAAGCUCUGUCGCAGGGGAAUAACACAAUG
rnacentral:rRNA from 1 species